UAUGAAAUAAUUUAAUUGGUAAAAUAUCUCGAUUUGGCUGAGAAUUCGAUUGUUCGAAUCAAUCUUUCAUAA
rnacentral:tRNA from 1 species